UACAGAGGGUGCGAGCGUUAAUCGGAAUUACUGGGCGUAAAGCGCACGUAGUCGGCUUUGCAAGUCGGUUGUGAAAUCCCCGGGCUCAACCUGGGAACUGCAUCCGAGACUGCAUUGCUAGAGUAUGGGAGAGGAAAGCGGAAUUUCUGGUGUAGCAGUGAAAUGCGUAGAUAUCAGAAGGAACAUCAGUGGCGAAGGCGACUUCCUGGACCAAUACUGACGCUCAUGUGCGAAAGCGUGGGGAGCAAACAGG
rnacentral:rRNA from 1 species